UGCACACAUCUUCUUCUCCAAGGUUUGUGUGCAGAACAUCCUGCCCAUGCUGCCCCAGCAGCUUCAGUUGGCACCUGCCUCAGUCCAGCCUCUGGGAACCAUGCAGCAGCUCCCAGCGGCCCUGCACCCACCACCAGCAUCCGUUUCACCUGCAGUUGAAGAUCCGUGAGGUGCCCAGAAGAUCAUGCAGUCAUCAGUCCCACGGAGCAGCCUGCGAGGCUGAGGCUCCUCCCACUGGACCGCCCCCCAACUGGCACCACUGCUGCCCCUGCCCCUACUCUCAGCCUCACGUGACUCUCGGGCAGAAGCACUGGUGGGGCAGCCAGGGCAGCGUCAAGAGUCUGAGCCAGCUGCAGGACAAGUUCGAGCAUCUUAAAAUGAUUCAACAGGAGGAGAUAAGGAAGCUCGAGGAAGAGAAAAAAAAACUGGAAGGAGAAAUCAUAGAUUUUUAUAAAAUGAAAGCUGCCUCUGAAGCACUGCAGACUCAGCUGAGCACCGAUACAAAGAAAGACAAACAUCUAACAAUUUGGACAAGACAGCAAAUGCUAUUGUCCAAGUUUUCUAAAGAAGAAUCUGAAGUGAAAUGACAUCAAGAGACCUAUCAAGACCUGUAUCCAGGAAAAGAGUCUUGCUCUUGUUGCCCAGGCUGGAGUGCAAUGGCAUGAUUUUGGCUCACUGUAAACUCCACCUCCUGGGUUCAAGCGAUUCUCCUGCCUCAGCCUCCCUAGUAGCUGGUAUUACAGGUGCCUGCCACCACACCCAGCUAAUUUUUGUAUUUUUAGUAGAGAUGGGGGUUUCACCAUGUUGGCCAGCCUGGUCCCGAACUCCUGACCUUAGGUGAUCCACCAGCAUCGGCCUCCCAAAGUGCUGGGAUUACAGGUGUGAGCCACUGUGUCCAGCCAGUGGUGGGUCUCAUAUCUCAAUGUGGACUUUUACUAACUCCCAAUGCCUCAGUUUCCUCAUCAGUUGAAAGGAAUGAAUGAAAGAUAUGUGUUUUUCAUAUUACCAGGUAGAUGAUAAGGAGAUUUU
rnacentral:lncRNA from 1 species